CGGGUCUAGUAUAAAGGCACUCUUGUACCGUGAAACUGCGAAUGGCUCAUUAAAUCAGUUAUCGUUUAUUUGAUAGUACCCUACUACAUGGAUACCUGUGGUAAUUCUAGAGCUAAUACAUGCGCAAAACCCCGACUUCGGAAGGGGUGUAUUUAUUAGAUAAAAAACCAAUGCCCCUCGGGGCUCCUUGGUGAUUCAUAAUAACUUCACGAAUCGCAUGGCCUUGCGCCGGCGAUGGUUCAUUCAAAUUUCUGCCCUAUCAACUUUCGAUGGUAGGAUAGUGGCCUACCAUGGUGGCAACGGGUAACGGGGAAUUAGGGUUCGAUUCCGGAGAGGGAGCCUGAGAAACGGCUACCACAUCCAAGGAAGGCAGCAGGCGCGCAAAUUACCCAAUCCCGAUACGGGGAGGUAGUGACAAUAAAUACUGAUACAGGGCUCUUUUGGGUCUUGUAAUUGGAAUGAGAACAUUCUAAAUCCCUUAACGAGGAACAAUUGGAGGGCAAGUCUGGUGCCAGCAGCCGCGGUAAUUCCAGCUCCAAUAGCGUAUAUUAAAGUUGUUGCAGUUAAAAAGCUCGUAGUUGAACCUUGGGCCCGUCCAGCCGGUCCGCCUCAUCGCAAGUACUGGCCCGGAUGGGCC
rnacentral:rRNA from 1 species